CAGCGCCGCGGGAAUACAGAGGGUGCGAGCGUUAAUCGGAUUUACUGGGCGUAAAGCGUGCGUAGGCGGCUUCUUAAGUCGGAUGUGAAAUCCCUGAGCUUAACUUAGGAAUUGCAUUCGAUACUGGGAAGCUAGAGUAUGGGAGAGGAUGGUAGAAUUCCAGGUGUAGCGGUGAAAUGCGUAGAGAUCUGGAGGAAUACCGAUGGCGAAGGCAGCCAUCUGGCCUAAUACUGACGCUGAGGUACGAAAGCAUGGGGAGCAAACAGGAUUAGAUACCCCUGUAGUCCCUGUCUCUUAUACA
rnacentral:rRNA from 1 species